AAAACAGAGAACUUGUUUUGUUAUAAAAGAUGAUUGCUUUUCUGUCCUGUCCUAUUCAGCAAGAUAAGGACUGCCAUAAUUCCAUGAAGAACAGAGAAACUACUGAAAUGACAGAAUCCUAAGAAUUGAAACGUACAUUAGGCCCACCCUGACUCCGGUCCUUUCCAAACUGUGUGUGAAAAAGAAACGCUCACGUGAAUCCUGAAAGCUCGUGAGGCAGAAGCCAGAGGCUCCGAGGUGGACGGUGGACGGGCGCAGGGAGGCCGUGAACUCCCGGGCUCCGCAGUGAAUUAUCACUAUGAAGGAAAAGUAAAUCGUGAGCGCAGGCACAGGAUGUCUCUGGGAAGACCAAUGAAAGGCACAAUGGCUGCUUCCUGGAGAGGAGCUGAACCCUGAGGGAUAGAAG